rnacentral:lncRNA from 1 species
UGAGUGAGGAGCUAGGAUUGUUUAGAUCCUGAUUGAUGCUAGGUUGAUAGAUCAUACUGCAUAAGAACGCUCAUACUGAUUAAGGACUUAAAAUGGAUUGUCUCAUGAUUGAUUGGUCGAUGAUAUAUUCUUGAUUGUGGUUGAGAGUCAGGAUGCUUAGAAAUAAUUAAACCUAGGAUAAUAGUAAACGUUAACCGGUCUGAUUAGAUGAAUGGUAGGACAUCCGUGAAUGGUUGUUUAAUGAAUUGAGUGAGACACCGAAAACGGGUGGCGUCUUAAAUGAAGGAAAUACUGAGUCUAAGAAAAUGAAAGGAAAACAAUAAAGAAAAAGGAAAGAUAACUGAUUGAUUAGUAAAUUACUCGGGAGGGUGGAAAGAAAGAUAACGCAGUGGCCGUAGCGUUUAAAAACGGCAGAGUUGCGAGGCCAUAGCAUCCGAUAAAAAUGGCAGAUUAAGAAUAGAGGCGCCGGUAAGAUUGAGUCACGCCGAGUCUUGGCAAGAAGGGGUCGUAAUACACUGCAAAGGCGGCCCGCACCCGAGGAACUGGGUGAUGGGCCUACCAGGGCAGGUGACUUCACAAGAAGCAGCAAGAACAAGGGGUGGAGGGAACCGCUUUGAGCUGUGUAGGUCCUAGAGUUCUAGGAUGAUUGGAGUCUUAAACCGAAUUAUGUGAAUUGAGUGAUGACUGAGUUCAUUACAUUGCUUGACUUGAUGAAAUGAAACGAAUGUGACAAGUUAAUUAAGUUGAAUCCAACUGAGUGUAGUGACUAGUCGGUUCUCGUUUCGCAUUGAGCAGUAUAAAGGCUCAUGGGGGAGACUGGUCUAGAAUCGCCUCACUGAGUAAUCUUUACUCACCCCUCUUUUCCCUCCCUUUUUACAGAACCUUAAGUGGAAGUAUCAAUGGUAAGAAAGGAAACGCACUUGAAACUCAUGGGACCAGUAACGGUACACCCGGAGAUGUCAGGAAAGUAGACAUGUGUGUCCUCAACCCCGCACCCAGGAACCCCGGUUGGAAAUGGGGAAGGGGCGGGUGUUACAAUUGGUAUCAGAGCCAGGUUAAGGUCCCUUAAUACUAACUUAAGGGAUCAGCGUUUCCGCCAUUGUUCAUUUUUCCCUUAUGGUUCUGUUGGACUCGUUGUAGUCAGUGUUGAAAGAGAAUUCGAACAGGCAGAGGCUACGGCCGAGAUCAGAACAACAAAAAUUCCUCGAACCACGAUGUGGUGGAGUUCUAGAGGCCCAUGAAAGGGUUAACAAGGAGUUGUAAGACAAGUAUACAGAGAGAUCAGUUGCCUAGCACGACAGGCUAAGGAGGAAUGGAAGGUUGGGCAUACGAACUUGAGGUGACCCGUCUCGCCGGCAACACCGCACCACGCCGGCCGGGAAAGCCGAGGGAACAGAACCUUAAGUGGAAGUAUCAAUGGUAAGAAAGGAAACGCACUUGAAACUCAUGGGACCAGUAACGGUACACCCGGAGAUGUCAGGAAAGUAGACAUGUGUGUCCUCAACCCCGCACCCAGGAACCCCGGUUGGAAAUGGGGAAGGGGCGGGUGUUACAAUUGGUAUCAGAGCCAGGUUAAGGUCCCUUAAUACUAACUUAAGGGAUCAGCGUUUCCGCCAUUGUUCAUUUUUCCCUUAUGGUUCUGUUGGACUCGUUGUAGUCAGUGUUGAAAGAGAAUUCGAACAGGCAGAGGCUACGGCCGAGAUCAGAACAACAAAAAUUCCUCGAACCACGAUGUGGUGGAGUUCUAGAGGCCCAUGAAAGGGUUAACAAGGAGUUGUAAGACAAGUAUACAGAGAGAUCAGUUGCCUAGCACGACAGGCUAAGGAGGAAUGGAAGGUUGGGCAUACGAACUUGAGGUGACCCGUCUCGCCGGCAACACCGCACCACGCCGGCCGGGAAAGCCGAGGGACGAGGGCCGGAUGCAAGACCGAGGCGUGUGUAGCUCCACAGAAGAGAUACCUCUGCAGAAAAAUAGCGAUGUGUCAUUCUGAUGUUACAGUCAAACUCGUUUCCCAUGUAAAAAAAAAAAAAUUGGCGCGGGCCCCACCACAUUGGCGUGGGGCCACCAGGAAAGGAAGGUGCGAAACCGAGGGUGACCAUGGGGGCUGGACAAAGGGGAAAAACCAAUUCUGGAUUGCGGAUUGAGCUAAGGACCUUCAUGGGGUUAUAAGGUUGACAGUAAUAAGGAUCAUCUUGGGGUAAAAAGGUUGACAGUAAUAAGGAUCAUCUUGGGGUAAAAAGGAUCGUCUUGGGGUAAAAAGGAUGAUGGAGGAUCAUCAUGGAGCGAAAAGGUGGAUGCUAAUAAGGACGGUGGAGGAUCGCUUUGGAGCAAAAUGGGAUAUACCAAUAAGGAUCUAGGAUCUUCAUGGGGUAAAAAGGUUGACGGUAAUAAGGAUCAUCUUGGGGUAAAAAUGAUGAUGGAGGAGCAUCAUGGAGCGAAAAGGCCGGUGCUAACAAGGAUGUUAGAGGAUCGCUUGGGGAGAAAUGGGAAGCACUAUUAGGGAUAUUGGCCCAUCGUGGGGUAAAAAUGGAUGAUAAGGACUACACCGGGAUAUUAUUUAAUGCAAAUGCGCAAGCAUCACUAUAGACGAUGUCUUCACCAGUGCAUCACGAGUUCGGAGAAAGACGCUUGCGCUAGGGACCAAAUGGGACGAGGGCGUACGCUCGCAAGCCCUACUGUGACACGUGGGGUAACAUGGUACCUGCCCUCUUCCCAGACGAGGAGGAAAUGGGGUUCGUGGAGCAGCCGAACGCCCACAUGCGGGAGACGACCGUGAGGCGUCAAGUACUAAUGCCUCAUUUCCAGCGGGCAGCAGAGUAUGGGCGGUUGUACCAAGGCCAUGGGACUUUUCAGUUCGCACAUGAAGUUGAAAUGACACCGUCCACGAGGGGCCGUGGGCACCCAAGGAAGUCAGGGUUGACCGGGAAAAUUCUUAGACCAUUUAGGAUGCAGGACAGUGUGCCAACGAGGAAACGUGGACGUCCAAGGAAGAUUCCUAGCAUUGAUGCAGACCGCCUGAGAAGCAUAACCGGAGUACGUCGGUGUGGGACACUAAUGCAGGCCAAGCAAGGACCGCGCUCAGUCCAGGAGUACACUGAGGAAUUCCUGGAGACAGCCGAAAGAUGCAAGCCAAAGACAUCGGAGGACUGGUGCCAGUGGUAUAUGGCAGGGCUCCGUGAGGAAAUUCAGGGGAAGCUGAUUGGUGUGUUGGAACCAUGGGAAUACGCUCUGGUGAACUGGAUGGCCGGUCAAGUGAGGGAGGCAGAGCACUUACCGUCGGGUAGUAACCAUCUAGAGCUCUAAGGAAGAAGUGGAAGUGGAAGAGGAUAUGCGGAAGACAUCGAUUAUGGAUGAAAGAACCUCGGGAGGAUGUACCGAGCCGUGCAAGUGUGAGAUCCUUGUUCAGAUAGGGCAUAAGCCUCACCUGGUCUGAGAGUACACUAAGGAGUUCUUAGACAUGGCCGAGAAAUGCAAGUCAAAGCCUGCGGAGGGGUAGUGCCGGUGUUAUAAGGCGAGACUCCGUAGGGACAUUCGAGGAGAGCUGAAUGGUGCCAUGGAAUCUAUGGAAUUUGCCUUAGUGGUGAGGAUGGCAGGGAAGGCGAUGGCAGCAAAGGCGUGGUUGUUAAACAGGUUAUUUAUGUCACAAGUUCUGAACCGAAAGAGGAUCCAUAAGAAGAUUAACAAUAGAAGGAUUAUCUGGAACCGUCAGCUAGAGGUGUCCGAGUGUUUGGUUCUGAUUCGAGGCAGAAACGCGCUUCUCCACUUUGUAGAGACUAGUUAAUAUUAUGGGAACAUCUCGUAGGAGUAGAAAUUAUGUUCUUCCUUAUUUACUUGAGAGUUUUCGAAAGAAGAUCCUUAAGAAAAAUAUUGUGUGCCUCCCUUGAAUGUGUUUGAACUCACCUCGGGUUUUGGGAUGUUAGUGUUCAAAGCGUGAAGAUUGGAAUUCGGGGCGAAUUUCGAUUAACAGGGGGAUAAUUGCAACACCCCAAAACUCAAGCCCAAAAAGUUUUUGUUGUUUAAAAGGGAAGGCCCGUUCUGCAGCCCAUCAGGAUUAAAACCCUAGGGUUCCCUUGCCUUUCUCUAUAAAUACAAGCCUCCAACUCCCUUGUCUCUCAUCAGAAAUUCCAGAGCGAAGCUCUGCAGAGAUUCCGGAAACAAGAAAACCCUAGCCGUCAAGACCUUCUUCUCUCUCUCCUCUCGCGCCGUCUCCCUCCCUCUUCUCUCUCCCGGCCGGCUCUCUCUCUCCUCGCCGUGAGCAGCCGCGAGUGGUGGUGGGCCGUGGGGUGUUGCUGAUUCAGAUCUCGUUCCUCUUAUCUCUCUUGUCUCCUAUUUCAGAUCCAGAUCUAGGCUAAGGUGAUGUGUUCUACCCAGAUCUUGUUCAUGCUCCUUUAUAUUGUUGAAUGAGGAGCUAGGAUUGUUUAGAUCCUGAUUGAUGCUAGGUUGAUAGAUCAUAUUGCAUAAGAACGCUCAUACUGAUUAAGGACUUAAAAUGGAUUGUCUCAUGAUUGAUUGGUCGAUGAUCUAUUCUUGAUUGUUUGUUGAGAGUCAGGAUGCUUAGAAAGAAUUAAACCUAGGAUAAUAGUAAACGUUAACCGGUCUGAUUAGAUGAAUGG